AGAGCGAACGCUGGCGGCAGGCCUAACACAUGCAAGUCGAACGGACCCUUCGGGGUUAGUGGCGGACGGGUGAGUAACACGUGGGAACGUGCCUUUAGGUUCGGAAUAGCUCCUGGAAACGGGUGGUAAUGCCGAAUGUGCCCUUCGGGGGAAAGAUUUAUCGCCUUUAGAGCGGCCCGCGUCUGAUUAGCUUGUUGGUGAGGUAAUGGCUCACCAAGGCUACGAUCAGUAGCUGGUCUGAGAGGAUGACCAGCCACAUUGGGACUGAGACACGGCCCAAACUCCUACGGGAGGCAGCAGUGGGGAAUCUUGCGCAAUGGGCGAAAGCCUGACGCAGCCAUGCCGCGUGUAUGAUGAAGGUCUUAGGAUUGUAGAAUUACUUUCGACCGGUUGAAGAUAAUGACUGUAGCCGGAGAAGAACGCCCGGCUAACUUCGCGCCAGCAGCCGC
rnacentral:rRNA from 1 species